AUCACUCCUCCUCAAGUCCUGUCAUCAGCUGUCACUUGGUAAGUCAGCACUCGCAAGCACUCGCAAACACUCGGCACUCGGCACUCUCGGCACUCUCGGUACUACCUACCUACCUAGCCCAGCCCAGCCCAGCCUGCCAGCCAGUCACCAUUGAUCAUGGCAUCAGGCAUAGAAUAGUUUCUCUGGCCUAGUUUACAUGUCAGCUGUUGCCUCAGCUGCGUUCAGCGUUCAGUCAGAGCUGAUUGUGAAAUGCGCCAACGUCAUAUUCUGCUAUUGCGCAUCUUCGUGAAUACAACUUAUAGGUUAUGAUUGUACUACGUACAGCUCAGCACCGUCGUGAAUGUCGUAAUCGGUCGUAAUUCCGUCAUGAGUCAACAUUGGGCGACAUGCCAAAAAUAAUAUGGAUCCUUUUGUUGAUUCUACAAGUUUGUUUCAUUGGAAGUACGGUUGGUUCGUUAGGUGACAGGUCGCAGGUAUACAAGCAAUGUCUAGCACUGUGUCGUAAUAACAACUGCAGAGACGAAAUAAAUUUUAAGGAGCAUCCUCCUUUAUUUUUAAUCUUGCUAUACUGGUCUUGCAAGGAAGAUUGUAGUUAUAUUUGUAUAUGGAGAACCGUUGAUUACUUCGUAUCUCAUGGUUUGAACAUACCACAGUUUCAUGGAAAGUGGCCAUUCAUUCGUUUGUUUGGAUGUCAAGAGCCUGCUUCAGUUUUAUUCUCUAUACUAAAUUUGUGUACACAUUGGAUAAUGUAUCGAAAAUUUAAAAGAAGGAUAGAUCAAACCAAUCCUAUGUUCUAUGCUUGGACGUACUUCAAUAUUAUAUGUUUAAACGGAUGGUUUUGGUCAACCGUAUUUCAUUCGCGGGACUGGUCAUUUACAGAAGCUAUGGACUAUUCUUGUGCGUUUAGUAUGGUACUUACACUCUUAUACUGCAUGCUUUUAAGGAUAACAAACAAGGGGACUAAAACAUUUAUUAUAAUAACUUGUGGAUACGUGAGCAUUUUGUGUACACAUUUGUCACAUUUAUGGUCAGGUAGAAUUAAUUAUGGUUAUAAUAUGAUGCUUAAUGUAGCGAUAGGAUUAGCAACUGUCAUGAUAACAAUGCUGUGGUGGUAUCUUAAUCGCAUUAAGUUGCCUUAUGUAUACUUAAUCGCUUGGUUCAAUAUAUUAACUACUUUCGUGACUCUACUCGAGUUGGCAGAUUUUCCUCCUAUUUUUUGGAUAUUUGAUGCUCAUUCCUUGUGGCAUGCUAGUACUGUUCCCUUAACAGUAUUAUUAUAUAGGUUUGUGAUCGCAGAUUGCUGUUAUCUGGAAAAGUAUUGUAACAAAUCAUUUCUAGAUAUCGAUCGUCAUAGGCAAUAAUUUCAAUACAUAAUGCUGGUCUAAGUAGGUCUACUCAAAUACAUACAGGCGUUUUUCUCUUGGGAUGCACUAGGUGUAGCCCAUCUCGCCUUGUAUCUCGCUAGUUGCAUUUAAGCAUUGCACUGCACUGAAGUGAUACACACCAUAGGGGCAGUAUAACAAAUAUUGGCAGAGAGAUCGUAACAUCAUUAGUUUUCGAGAUCGUAACAUCAGUUUUGACAGUCUAAUAAUAUAAAUAUGACAUGUA